rnacentral:misc_RNA from 1 species
GAUGAAGAACGCAGCGAAAUGCGAUAAGUAAUGUGAAUUGCAGAAUUCAGUGAAUCAUCGAAUCUUUGAACGCAUCUUGCGCUCCUUGGUAUUCUGAGGAGCAUGCCUGUUUGAGUGUCAUUAAAUUCUCAACUACACUGACUUUGAAUUGGUGUGGCUUGGAUUUGGGGGGAAAAUUGUUGUGGGCUUUUUGUAUAGUCUGCUCCCCUGAAAUUGAUUAGCGGUACCUUUGUGGAACUGUCUACAGGUGUGAUAAUUAUCUACAUCUUAGACAUCUGCUGGAAUGCUGCAUUCUAAACCUUACUUGUAUUGACAAUCUUGACCUCAAAUCAGGUAGGACUACCCGCUGAACUUAAGCAUAUCAAUAAGCGGAGGA